rnacentral:lncRNA from 1 species
AAUUAAUGUGAACUGGCAGCGUUCAGGUUAAGGACCCAUCUCCUGUCACCUGACUGGCCAUCAGGCUAGCAUGAUGACACAGAGAUUGUAAUAAUGACCCCAUUUGUCUAAGGUUUACAACAGCAUAAUCCCAGUCUACCCCGGGGUCCAUUCUGCAGAUCUGCCCUGCUCCUGUGAGUGCCAGAAUGUGGGUCUGCUCUGAAGCUUCUCUUGCUGUUCUAAGUCCUCUGAGUAGCACCGGGACCCCAGCAGAUUAUCUCGCCUUUGCCAGCACCUCCCAGUCCCACUGUGAGGAAAUGCCAGGCCCAGGCCCAGGCAUCUCAUCUGCCAUGCAGGUGGAAUCAAGGCACGGGUACUGAAGCAGCCGUUUCUCCUAGGCAUCAGGAAAAAUGUUUCUUCAGGAUAAAGGAAGCAGGACUGGAUGUCCGUUACCUCGGGGCCAGUCCAUAGGAAGUGCUCGAGAGCAGAAGACUGGAGUGGUUCUCUCCAAAGGAUCCAGGCAUCUGAAGAAGGCUCCAGUGACCUCCUCGAGGUGAACCACUGCUUUUCCCAGCCCGAGGAGAUUUGGGAGCUGCGGGCUUUGGAGCGGGCAUGGCUAAGUCCAAGUCCAAGUCCAAGAAUCACACCACACACAACCAGUCAUGAAAAUGGCCCAGAAAUGGCAUCAAGAAACCCCAGGCAAAAAGAUAUGAAUCUCUUUAGGAGCCGAACCCAGGUUCCCGAGGCACAUGCGCGUUGCCAAGAAGUACAAUAA